rnacentral:tRNA from 1 species
CGCUAGGAAGCUUAAUUUUGAGGGUAAGCGUUAGCCUUUUAAGCUAAAGACUGGUGGCUCCUAACCACCUCUAGUGA